rnacentral:misc_RNA from 1 species
ACUUUUUAUUCUCCUCUUGAUCUUGAGUCGCCCCCACCCCCAUAUUCCCCCAAAGAAUCCUAGGUGUAACAUGACAAAUUCAUUUAAAAUGUACUGCAAAAACAACAAAAUAAUAGAGUCAGCAUGUUAAAAAUCAAUAAAAAAAAUGUAAGAAUAAGAGUGAUAAAAUCACCAAAAGGGGACCUAUAGACCUAAUUUGUCAUAGACAUUAUAUUUCAUUAAUUCCUAUAGCACAUGAUAAAAAUAAGUCCAACAUGGCAUUAAAAAUCAAUGGCAUCCACAAAAAAGAAAUUCCCAGUUAGGAGAACAAGUGAUAGAAAUUCUUGGUUCUAGAGAAUUAUAUUGCCAAUUAUGUGAGCACAGUUGCCACAAUCCAUAUUCUUACUUAUUAAGCAACAUCCAUCCAUUUGUGAACCAAAGAAGAAAGCUUACAAACUGAUACCAACCUGAUAGGUAUAGAGUUUAACAUA